rnacentral:misc_RNA from 1 species
CUUCCCGCAGCCGAAGGGAAAAGUAAGUGGAAGUGGAAUUGAUGAGAACGGUGGUCCAGAGAGGCACUGACAGCGAUUAUAUAUUUGAAAUUCACGGCAGAAUUCGAAAACAGGAUCGGAAGAGAAGAAAACACUUCGUGCUACAACGGGAUAAGCCGCAUACAAAACAUAUAUUUGCAACGACGAGCACAUUGCAAGAUACGCCGGGAACCCAUCGAAUGGAGUCAUUCAUCUGAAGCCUCAGGAUGCUCAAAAAUCUUAAAUCUUUUAAGAAAAUCUUUCAAUACUUUAUUAGAACUUCUGAGAAAUUUCCAUUUCCAUAUCCAACCUUUUCCUGUGAAGCCUAAACCGCAGGGCUUUCCCGGACACUCCUAGUGUCUUCGCUUACCAUCAUGUGUAAUUGAACUUCGCCUUAAAGGACAGAAACUUUUGCCGAUGCAACGGAUAAAACUGGCACGAAAUGCAUUAGGAGUUUGGUAAAGAUGGAUUUUUGGACGAAAAGCAGCUUUCGAAGUCACACCGAUGAAUAUCCUUUUCCUCCCUCAUAUCCCAGGAGUGUUGAAAGUGGACCAGGGGCAGGGCCUUUGGUGAAAAAGGACACUGAAAUGUGUAGUAAUUGUAUAGAAAGAAAAAGAGGAGACCCUGACAAAAUGUCAGGCGCAGCCACAGGCAAACAAAGCUGGAAGUCGAGCAGAUGAUGAGUCCUUACGGAGCAAACAGAAACGUUGCCAAGCGUUGUGGGAAAAAGCCUAUAUUCUCAGAGCAGACAGCACAAAACAGUGUUAUCCCGUCCUUAGUAGGCUGCUAGAGGUGUCGAUUGUAACGUAACCAGGCCUUAGGAGACAG